rnacentral:lncRNA from 1 species
CGCGGAAGACAGGUACACUUCUGAGGAGGCCUGUGAACUCUCCAGGAGCGCUAUCUCAUUAAGAUGAUGGUGGUGAGGAGAGACUCCAGGAAAGACCAGGGCCCCUCCCUCAUGCAAAACGGAGAUGGUUUUAUUUUAAUGAGAGAUGGAAUGUGUGAAGACGCUAAGAACCAGGCACCCUCCCUUUCUGAAUGACCCCUCGCCCUGCCCUUCACCAUUAGUACGCCAGCCCCAGCCCAGGGCAGCUGGGUGCCUGCAAGCAGCGCCUGCCUCAGGGUGGUUAGCAGCAGCCAGACAGAGAGGCCAGCCGGGCUCAGAGCCCUGGAAGACUGUCCUGACUCCUUGGCUGCUUGGAAACCCCGGCUCUGGUACAACGAUGGGGAACUCGUUGCUGCAAAUUGCCACCAAGCACUUCAGACUACCUGAACUGUCUCUGAAAGUGAGGGUGUCUGCGUCGGGCUGGCGGCUCCAAGGAGGACGAGGCUGGGGCUGGCAACAGUCUGGGUACUUGCUCUGGG